AAAAAAAAAAAAAAAAAAGAAAAAAAACUCUACGGCUGAUUUUCCCAUGCACGCCACCUCCAAACCUCCAUCUUUCUAUCUUAUUAUUUCUCUUUUCAUAUCCGCCGCCCCGCCCCGCCCCGCCCCGCUCGAUUACAGUAAUGUUGCUUUUCGGUGCCGUUUACGGCCGUAUUUUUGUUCUCUGUUGCAAUCUCACUUAAUAUUAUUUGCUUAUUUAUUUCAGUUGAUCGUAUCUUUAUUCUUCUUGAUAGGCCGGCGACUCGAUGGAUCCGAUAGACCUGACGGCGAAAGCGCUCAGAAAGAAGAGCAAGAGGAGGGAAAAAAAGGCAUGGGCGUCAAUUUCUUCUUAUCCUCUCUCUUUUUUCUCAAAAGAACUCAUUGAUGGAGAAAAUCUUGUUUAAAUUUGAACUGGUUUUGCAAAUAUUUCAGUUUAAUUUCAGUACCGACUAUUUUGUAACAAUCAUAGAUUGAUUCUUUCAUGUUAGAUACAGACUGGCUGUGAUUUUUUUUAGAUGC
rnacentral:lncRNA from 1 species